UCCUCGCCUCUCGGGACUCCAGAAGCACAGUGGGUCUCGGGUCCCAACGCAGAGGGAGUGGGUAAAGCCAUCCGGAACCAAGGUCUUUCCAGUAAACGCGGCCGGUGGGCGUUCACACCUGACUUCUGUUCCAAUCGUUGACCUCGUCUCGCUUGUCUCCUCCUGUCGCUCCGACUUCACCUUCCAAGUUUCCCUUCAUUCCUAGACCGUGGGCUAGUGGAAGUGUCAACCAAAUUCAUGAUCAACAAUGACAGAUGGAAACACACAUGUGUGAUUGGCGCCAGCAAGAGCUUUAUAUGUAUCCUGCAUGCAAAGAGAUACAGGGAGAUGGAGAAACACUGAUGUGAGAGUAAUACAUGUAUUGUCU